UACGGAGGGGGCAAGCGUUGUUCGGAAUCAUUGGGCGUAAAGAGUAUGUAGGCGGCUAUUUAAGUCAGGCGUGCAAGCCCACGGCUCAACCGUGGAAUUGCGUUUGAAACUAUUUAGCUUGAGUACAGGAGAGGAAGGCGGAAUUCCCAGUGUAGCGGUGAAAUGCAUUGAUAUUGGGAAGAACACCGGUGGCGAAGGCGGCUACCUGGACAGAUACUGACGCUGAAGCACGAAAGCGUGGGGAGCAAACAGG
rnacentral:rRNA from 1 species